rnacentral:misc_RNA from 1 species
AAGUCGUAACAAGGUUUCCGUAGGUGAACCUGCGGAAGGAUCAUUAUCGUACUACAGAGGCGCGAGGGCUGUCGCUGACCUUUUUCAAAGGUCGUGCACGCCCGAGCGCUCUCGCCUACAAUCCACCUCACCACUUGUGCAUCACCGCGCGGGGCCUCCCUCUUGGCUCGCUUCGAGAGAGGCUCGCGUUCUUCACAUCACACACACACCUUUUUAGUUUUGAAUGUCAUUCAUUUGCGAUAACGCGCAAUCAAUACAACUUUCAACAACGGAUCUCUUGGCUCUCGCAUCGAUGAAGAACGCAGCGAAAUGCGAUACGUAACGUGAAUUGCAGAAUUCAGUGAAUCAUCGAAUCUUUGAACGCACCUUGCGCCCCUUGGCAUUCCGAGGGGCACACCCGUUAGAGUGUCGUGAAAUUCUCAAACCUUCUUGGUUUCUUGACCAAGAUGGCUUUGGACUUUGGAGGCGUUGUGCUGGCUUUGCAAAAAGUCGGCUCCUCUUAAAUGCAUUAGUGGGGUCCCCUUUGCCAAUCCCCAGGCGUGAUAAGAUGUUUCUACGUCUUGGGAUUUGCUCUGUUCACUGGGAACCUGCUUCCAACCGUCUCGUGAGAGACAUCGUUCGAGCUUGCUCGGCGCACGAAUCUUGACCUCAAAUCGGGUGAGACUACCCGCUGAACUUAAGCAUAUCAAUAAGCGGAGGAAAAGAAACUAACAAGGAUUCCCCUAGUAACUGCGAGUGAAGCGGGAAAAGCUCAAAUUUAAAAUCUGGUGGCCUUUGGCCAUCCGAGUUGUAAUUUAGAGAA